rnacentral:miRNA from 12 species
AGUGAACUUUUUACAUAUAAAGAAUAUAUAUACUGUGUGUGUGUGUGUGUGUGUGUGUGUGUGUAUACAUAUACACA